CCUACGGGAGGCAGCAGUGAGGAAUAUUGGUCAAUGGGCGGAAGCCUGAACCAGCCAAGUCGCGUGAGGGAAGAAGGCCCUAUGGGUUGUAAACCUCUUUUGUCGGGGAGCAACGCCGGGUACGUGUACCCGCCCGGAGAGCACCUGGAGAAAAAGCAUCGGCUAACUCCGUGCCAGCAGCCGCGGUAAUACGGAGGAUGCGAGCGUUACCCGGAUUUAUUGGGUUUAAAGGGUGCGUAGGCGGGCUUUAAAGUCAGCGGUAAAAGGUCUGGGCUCAACCCCGAUCGGCCGUUGAAACUGGGGGCCUUGAGUGGGCGAGAAGUAGGCGGAAUGCGUGGUGUAGCGGUGAAAUGCAUAGAUAUCACGCAGAACCCCGAUUGCGAAGGCAGCCUACCGGCGCCCAACUGACGCUGAGGCACGAAAGUGCGGGGAUCGAACAGGAUUAGAUACCCUUGUAGUC
rnacentral:rRNA from 1 species